AAUUGAAGAGUUUGAUCAUGGCUCAGAUUGAACGCUGGCGGCAGGCCUAACACAUGCAAGUCGAGCGGUAGAGAGGUGCUUGCACCUCUUGAGAGCGGCGGACGGGUGAGUAAUGCCUAGGAAUCUGCCUGGUAGUGGGGGAUAACGCUCGGAAACGGACGCUAAUACCGCAUACGUCCUACGGGAGAAAGCAGGGGACCUUCGGGCCUUGCGCUAUCAGAUGAGCCUAGGUCGGAUUAGCUAGUUGGUGGGGUAAUGGCUCACCAAGGCGACGAUCCGUAACUGGUCUGAGAGGAUGAUCAGUCACACUGGAACUGAGACACGGUCCAGACUCCUACGGGAGGCAGCAGUGGGGAAUAUUGGACAAUGGGCGCAAGCCUGAUCC
rnacentral:rRNA from 1 species